rnacentral:rRNA from 1 species
GGGAGGCGAACCCGGCGAACUGAAACAUCUAAGUAGCCGGAGGAAAGGACAUCAACCGAGACUCCGCUAGUAGUGGCGAGCGAACGCGGACCAGGCCAGUCAUUCAGUCUACAUAACCGGAACCGUCUGGAAAGGCGGGCCAGAGCGGGUGAUAGCCCCGUACGGGUAAACCGGACUGAAUGCUCGAGUAGGGCGGGGCACGUGAAACCCUGUCCGAACAUGGGGGGACCACCCUCCAAGCCUAAGUACUCCUCAGUGACCGAUAGUGCACCAGUACCGUGAGGGAAAGGUGAAAAGCACCCCGACGAGGGGAGUGAAACAGUUCCUGAAACCGGAUGCCUACAAGCAGUCGGAGCUUCCUUGCGAAGUGACGGCGUACCUUUUGUAUAAUGGGUCAGCGACUUACAGUAAGCAGCGAGCUUAAGGCGGUAGCCGGAGGCGCAGCGAAAGCGAGUCUGAACAGGGCGCGUGAGUUGCUUGCUGUAGACCCGAAACCCGGUGAUCUAGCCAUGGACAGGUUGAAGGUGCGGUAACACGCACUGGAGGACCGAACCCACGCCUGUUGAAAAAGUCGGGGAUGAUCUGUGGCUAGGGGUGAAAGGCCAAUCAAACCGGGAAAUAGCUGGUUCUCCGCGAAAGCUAUUUAGGUAGCGCGUCGGGCGAUUGCCCACGGGGGUAGAGCACUGGAUGGGCUAGGGGGCCUCGCGGCUUACCAAACCUAACCAAACUCCGAAUACCGUGGAGCACAGCCCGGCAGACAGACGGUGGGUGCUAAGGUCCAUCGUCGAGAGGGAAACAGCCCAGACCGCCAGCUAAGGUCCCCAAAUCACGGCUAAGUGGGAAAGGAUGUGGGAAGGCCAUGACAACCAGGAGGUUGGCUUAGAAGCAGCCAUCCUUUAAAGAAAGCGUAAUAGCUCACUGGUCUAGUUAAGCCGGCCUGCGCCGAAAAUGUAUCGGGGCUCAAGCCGUGUACCGAAGCUGCGGAUGCGCCGAAAGGCGCGUGGUAGCGGAGCGUUCCGUAAGCCUGCGAAGGGUGUCCGUGAGGCCGCCUGGAGGUAUCGGAAGUGAGAAUGCUGACAUGAGUAGCGACAAACAGUGUGAGAAACACUGUCGCCGAAAGUCCAAGGGUUCCUGCGCAAGGUUAAUCCACGCAGGGUGAGCCGGCCCCUAAGGCGAGGCCGAAAGGCGUAGUCGAUGGGAACCACGUUAAUAUUCGUGGGCCAGCGGGUGUGUGACGAAUGGGAAAGCGUGUCGGGCCUUAUCGGAUUGGCCCGGCUGGGGACCCGUUCCAGGAAACAGCCCCCGCAUCAGACCGUACCCCAAACCGACACAGGUGGACUGGUAGAGCAUACCCAGGCGCUUGAGAGAAUGGUGUUGAAGGAACUCGGCAAAUUGCCCUCGUAACUUCGGAAGAAGAGGGCCCCGUUCCAGGGCAACCUGGGGCGGGGGGCACAGACCAGGGGGUGGCGACUGUUUACUAAAAACACAGGGCUCUGCGAAGCCGUCCAAGGCGACGUAUAGGGUCUGACGCCUGCCCGGUGCCGGAAGGUUAAGAGGAGGGGUUCACGCUCCGAAUUGAAGCCCCGGUAAACGGCGGCCGUAACUAUAACGGUCCUAAGGUAGCGAAAUUCCUUGUCGGGUAAGUUCCGACCUGCACGAAUGGCGUAACGACUUCCCCGCUGUCUCCAACACCAACUCAGCGAAAUUGAACUCUCCGUGAAGAUGCGGAGUACCCGCGGUCAGACGGAAAGACCCCGUGCACCUUUACUACAGCUUUGCAGUGGUGCUAGGGAUCUCAUGUGUAGGAUAGGUGGGAGGCUAGGAAGCCCGGGCGCCAGC